GUGCCAGCCGCCGCGGUAAUACCGGCAGCACGAGUGAUGGCCGAUAUUAUUGGGCCUAAAGCGUCCGUAGCUUGCUGUGUAAGUCCAUUGGGAAAUCGACGUGCUCAACGCGUCGGCGUCCGGUGGAAACUACACGGCUUGGGGCCGAGAGACUCGACGGGUACGUCCGGGGUAGGAGUGAAAUCCUGUAAUCCUGGACGGACCACCAAUGGGGAAACCACGUCGAGAGACCGGGCCCGACAGUGAGGGACGAAAGUCAGGGCCUCCAACCGGAUUAGAAACCCUAGUAGUCC
rnacentral:rRNA from 1 species